rnacentral:rRNA from 1 species
UACGGAGGGUGCAAGCGUUAUCCGGAUUCACUGGGUUUAAAGGGUGUGUAGGCGGGUAUUUAAGUCAGUGGUGAAAUCUCCGGGCUCAACCCGGAAACUGCCAUUGAUACUAUUUAUCUUGAAUCUUGUUGAGGUAGGCGGAAUACAUCAUGUAGCGGUGAAAUGCUUAGAUAUGAUGUAGAACACCGAUUGCGAAGGCAGCUUACUAAACAAGCAUUGACGCUGAGGCACGAAAGCGUGGGGAUCAAGCAGG